UCUUCUGAUCGGCAAGUCCUAGGCUCUGUGGUUUAACCCACAGCGCCAUCUGCGUCCCUACUGGUGGUUGUAGUGAUUAAGAAAAACCUGUGACCUCCACAGUUCACUUCCAGUUGUUUAACCAUGGUUAAGUCAUCAUGAACAUCAGGUCUGUACUGUAACCAAGGAAGAAGAAGGUGAAAAUGUCUGACCACAAGAGAGAAAUAUGGAGGCAAUGCAUUGGUGGAUUUCUUGUGUGAUUGUGGGUAUCAGUGCACAAGGAGCUGUCCAAAAUGCUCUGUACCUACCAGUCUGAAUAUAUCUGUUCUUGCUCUCCUCUGAUUUAUGUUGCCAUGUAAUGUCUAUAUGUUUGGAUGUCAUGCCAAUUCUGAGUGUUAUUUAAACAGAAUAAUGGAGAGGAGGAAGAAUAAAAUUGAUUGAACACAAAGGGAAUUAGUAACGUAAUGUUAUGUUUUGUCAGGGCCUUAUGCACCAAAGUCAGCUGUGAAAUUAUUUUUUACGAUAGGCCUUAUUGUCCAUAAUACAGUCCUAAAUUCUACAAACCCAUGAGAAGCUUAUGUGCUAAUUAUUAUUCUAACAUUGACUGUAGUUUUUUGGGAACAUUUUAAAAUCUAAACUGUUUACCAGGGAUGCACAAAGUUUGGCUGACCUUGGUAUCCAGCCAAAAUUCAGGUUGCCAUGACCCCGAGGGCAAAGUUUUGUCUUUGGCAUAAUGAUCUUUGACGGUGCUCUAAAGCACAGUGUGAGCUCACCAGCAUGACAAGUGAAUUUGUGGACCCACAAGUUCAACAAAAAUCUUUAGAAACAAAAAAUGGGUGUUGAGAAAUAGCAUCAUUUGCAUGAGGAAUUUUUAUAAAACAGCAUACCCUUUUUUUGUUCAAUUUAUUUCAAUUAAAACCCAUGGACGCGUUCCCCUCCCCUUCCUAUGUUGUACUCAGGACUGUGCCAGGGAGAUGUCAUGUUUCGUACUUACUGCCCUGCUUAUCUCAACUUUGGGAAAUUUAUGAAACUGGGCAUACUUGCACAAGUGGAGCAAAAACGUGCUGUUAAUAAGGUAAACAGACCUAUAAUUACAGCCUUUAGUACAUCACUAAAUACACCUUGCAUUCCCUGGAGGAAAUAGCUUGAGCUUUUUAAGUCUCUGGACUGAUGGUCCUGUGUGAAACUAAACAAAUAAUGAAUUUGUAGAGGUAGCCAUAAUUCAAGGGCUAGAGUAUCUCCAUUGUAUACAAAAGGUCCUAGGUCCAGUCCCCAGCUGGCAGAGCUUGGAAAGGCCACUGCCUGACACCCUGGAGAAUCACCGUGAGUCAGAGUAGACAGUAAUGACUUGGAUAGACCAGUGGUCUGAUUUGGUGUAUGGCCGAAACUUUUGAAUCCUUUACAGAAGCACAGAAUUGCAUCUUGCCAACAAGCGAAGGAUGUAUUCAAGUGACUAAAAAUGAUGCUCUUCCAGAUUAUUGCAUGAAUAACUCCAUAAAUCAAAACAUUUACAGAUACAUGGUAAUUAAUUUACAACUGCAGAGAUGCACACAAGCACCAGCAAGCAUUUUGUGGAGACCAGCCCUGCUAGUGUAUAAAGAAAUGGAAAUGGUAAGCAGUCAUUACUCUGUGGCAUCAUAUUGGAUGGACUACAAGUGGUGAUGAUGAUUGGACUUGAACCAGACUGCCAUAAAACAUGUACCUGUCUUCAGUGUGUUAAGUGAUCUAUUGCCAGCUAAAAUAAGGUAGCAAAGGUGAAUAAGCAGGCAGUUAUGUGACUUUAUGAUAGUCAGCUGUAGCCCAGAUUUUGAAACCUGAUUUUCCUGAACUAGCUUUGAAAUCUGAGAACAGAAGUCCUUCAGUUUUAAGGUGCAUUGAAUACUCUUCCCAGGCUUACGUAUUGUGAAAAAGUGUUUUCUGACAUUGAUGGCUUCCUCUUUUUGCCUACUUGGGGGACAACCUAGGAACAUAGAAAUGUAUUAGUUUGUGAACUAAUUGGGUGGAAUUCAGCGUCACACUAUUUAAAUUGUUCUGCCAAUGCAAGUAUUUCUGCUUGCCAAACAGAAUUAUCUCCCCUCUCUUUCCCCUGUACACUGUUCUGGGGGGGGGGGUCUGAUUCCCACCAGCCAAUUUGGGAGGAGGCCCCAGUUGUGCCAGCAUAACUGGUUUUUCUGGCUCCCAUUUAGCACAGCUAUUCAGUUGAAUUCAGCCCAUAGAAAUUGUUUAAGCCCUGAGCAUAACCCACUCAGUGCCCUCCACUACCUGCACAGAAUGUUUCCAGCCCUCUUAGCAUCACUAGAGAUACCUGUGACUGAGAACAAUGGCAGCAAACAAAGACGGACUUCCUCAUAACUUGCAUCUGGAAUUACAGUUUCCAGUUAUGGCACUCUCAUGGGUGGUGUACAGCAAGCAUAUUUACAUGGUUUUGUCUACUCAGGCUGCAGGGGACAUCAAACAUCAUCUUUAAAAUCCUCUGACGGUUACUGUGAUAGGUGCACAGUGUGGUUAGUUUAAUGGCGUAAGUAUAUUGCACAGACCGGUGCUGCACCAACACACACUUGCAUUUUCUUUAAUCACCAAGUUUUGCUUUGGCUUCCUUUCUUUCUGCUUCAGGAGUUCUAUGUAGGGAGAGUUUCUGCCAUUCCCACUACUGACUGCCAGCAUGAAUUUUGACUAUUUCUUCCCCAAGGUAAGGAUGGUAGUCAUUUUAAGAAGUCAGUUGUUCUGCUGUGUAAUAUUAAACUUAACUGAAUAUAUGUUUUCUUCUCAGGUGAGGUCUCAAAGUGUGUGCUGUGCCUCCUCCACUUACUGAUUCCCUAUUGUAAUCCAGGUUUGAACUCUUUCCCAAGCUACAUUGUGACCAGUCUAUCGGACUGCCAUGUGACCACAAGAACCUCCAUCAGAACCCUAGGUUCCUCCCUGCCAUCCCACAAAACAAACAAACAAACAAACAAAAAUGAACACCAGAAGAACUUCUGAAAGCAGGUCAACCGUUGCCACGGCGAUCAGAUUGUAACUGUGGACCUUCUAUCACAGCAUCUUUGAAGCAAUGCAUUUCAGUGGACAGCAGCAGAGCCUAGAUCUAGGUGGCCUUCUCUGAAACAGCAGCUAAGCCAUGGAUACAUCGUGUGGCAUCUUGGGCACAUCUGUAUUGCUUAGGGUUAACUUAUUAUGCUGUAACUGAAUAAUAACGCAGGCGGCAAACAUUUUGUGCAGGGGCUUCCGUUCCUAGCCCCGUGAGAAUCGGUGGGGCGCAAAUAAGCCUGCCCCACCCUGUUAAUGUCCCUGUUCCGCCCUCUUCUGGGUCCGAAAGGACCUGCACAUUGGCAGUCGCUUGUUGGGGGGGGGACGAAAGUGUUGCCGCCUUUUGUGCCUUCCCUCACAAAGUUAUUGUGAGAAUUAAAAAAAAAUGAAUAUUAUGAACUUACAUUAGAUGUGGGGCAAACUAAACGUGUAAAUUUUAAUGAAAUGAUACCAAGGAGAUCAACCAGUACUAAAGCAGAUGUAGCCACCAGCAUGUAUAAUAAAACAAUGUUCAAUAAACAUGUGCCAAAAACUAUCUGUACAAGCUAUACUUAAGAGCACUUUACAACACUUCAAAAUACGUAAGAAGUACAUUUUAUAUUGAGCCUUUGCUCCAAUAUUCUUCUGUGCAGUACCGUGUUUGUUUGUGUAAUCAUGGGAAAUGACUUGUCAAGGGAGAUUAAGAAAUCUUGGUGGUGAUAAAUGAAAGUGGGCUUGUGGUUUCUUGAAACUCAA